GAAUGACUUUUAACGGCCGCGGUAUCCUAACCGCGCAAAGGUAGCAUAAUCACUUGUCCCCUAAAUAGGGACUAGCAUGAACGGCCAAACGAGGGCCUAACUGUCUCCUAUAGCCCACCAAUAAACCUGAUCUCUCCGUACAAAAGCUGAGAUAAACACAUCAGACGAGAAGACCCUGUGGAGCUUUAAGCCCAGAGUCAACACCACCAUUGACCUCACGCUUUUAGUUGGGGCGACUAUGGAGCAAAACAAAACCUCCACGACACUACCACCCGGUCUGCAAGACCAACACGUCAAACCAAAAACAUUACGACCCAGUACAACUGAUCACCGAACCAAGUUACCCCAGGGAUAACAGCGCCAUCCUCCCCAAGAGUCCAUAUCGCCAGGAGGGCUUACGACCUCGAUGUUGGAUCAGGACACCCAGGUGGUGCAGCCGCUACCAAAGG
rnacentral:rRNA from 1 species